AUUGAACGCUGGCGGCAUGCCUUACACAUGCAAGUCGAACGGCAGCAUGAUCUAGCUUGCUAGAUUGAUGGCGAGUGGCGAACGGGUGAGUAAUACAUCGGAACGUGCCCUGUAGUGGGGGAUAACUAGUCGAAAGAUUAGCUAAUACCGCAUACGACCUGAGGGUGAAAGUGGGGGACCGCAAGGCCUCAUGCUAUAGGAGCGGCCGAUGUCUGAUUAGCUAGUUGGUGAGGUAAAGGCUAACCAAGGCGACGAUCAGUAGCUGGUCUGAGAGGACGACCAGCCACACUGGGACUGAGACACGGCCCAGACUCCUACGGGAGGCAGCAGUGGGGAAUUUUGGACAAUGGGGGCAACCCUGAUCCAGCAAUGCCGCGUGUGUGAAGAAGGCCUUCGGGUUGUAAAGCACUUUUGUCCGGAAAGAAAUCGCACUUACUAAUAUUAGGUGUGGAUGACGGUACCGGAAGAAUAAGGACCGGCUAACUACGUGCCAGCCGCCGCGGUAACAC
rnacentral:rRNA from 1 species